AGUGAACGCUGGCGGCAUGCCCAAUACAUGCAAGUCGAACGAGAGGAAGGAAAGCUUGCUUUCCUGAAUCUAGUGGCGAACGGGUGAGUAACACGUAGGUAACCUGCCCAUGUGCCCGGGAUAACUUCUGGAAACGGAUGCUAAAACCGGAUAGGUAGCAGACAAGCAUUUGACUGCUAUUAAAGUGGCCUUGGCCAUGAACAUGGAUGGACCUGCGGUGCAUUAGCUGGUUGGUGAGGUAACGGCCCACCAAGGCGACGAUGCAUAGCCGGCCUGAGAGGGCGGACGGCCACAUUGGGGCUGAGACACGGCCCAAACUCCUACGGGAGGCAGCAGUAGGGAAUUUUCGUCAAUGGGGGGAACCCUGAACGAGCAAUGCCGCGUGAGUGAGGAAGGUCUUCGGAUCGUAAAGCUCUGUUGUAAGAGAAAAACGGCACUCAUAGGGAAUGAUGAGUGAGUGAUGGUAUCUUACCAGAAAGUCACGGCUAACUACGUGCCAGCAGCCGCAGUAAGAC
rnacentral:rRNA from 1 species